rnacentral:rRNA from 1 species
AACGAACGCUGGCGGCAUGCCUAACACAUGCCAGUCGAACGAUCCCUUCGGGGAUAGUGGCGCACGGGUGCGUAACGCGUGGGAACCUGCCCUUAGGUUCGGAAUAACUCAGAGAAAUUUGAGCUAAUACCGGAUAAUGUCUUCGGACCAAAGAUUUAUCGCCUUUGGAUGGGCCCGCGUUGGAUUAGCUAGUUGGUGGGGUAAAGGCCUACCAAGGCGACGAUCCAUAGCUGGUCUGAGAGGAUGAUCAGCCACACUGGGACUGAGACACGGCCCAGACUCCUUCGGGAGGCAGGAGUGGGGAAUAUUUGACCAUUGGCCAAAGGCUGAACCAGGAAAUCCCGGGGAAGGAUGAAGGCCUUUGGGUUGGUAAGCCUAUUUACCCGGGAUGAUAAUGACAGUACCGGGAGAAUAAGCCCCGGCUAACUCCGUG